AACGAACGCUGGCGGCAGGCCUAACACAUGCGAGUCGAGCGCCCUUUCGGGGGAGCGGCGGACGGGUGAGUACCGCGUGGGAAUAUGCCCUUCUCUACGGAAUAGCCUCGGGAAACUGAGAGUAAUACCGUAUACGCCCUGUGGGGGAAAGAUUUAUCGGGGAAGGAUUAGCCCGCGUUGGAUUAGGUAGUUGGUGGGGUAAUGGCCUACCAAGCCGACGAUCCAUAGCUGGUUUGAGAGGAUGAUCAGCCACACUGGGACUGAGACACGGCCCAGACUCCUACGGGAGGCAGCAGUGGGGAAUCUUAGACAAUGGGGGCAACCCUGAUCUAGCCAUGCCGCGUGAGUGAUGAAGGCCUUAGGGUUGUAAAGCUCUUUCAGCUGGGAAGAUAAUGACGGUACCAGCAGAAGAAGCCCCGGCUAACUCCGUG
rnacentral:rRNA from 1 species